CAAUAGCGUAUAUUAAUGUUGUUGCAGUUAAAAAGCUCGUAGUCGGAUUUCAAUGCGGGUUGACCGGUCUGCCGAUGGGUAUGCACUGGUUGAGCCGUAUUUCCUCCCGGAGACCUCGCCUACUCUUAACUGAGGCGGGCGGGGGAAACGGGACUUUUACUUUGAGGAAAUCAGAGUGUUCAAAGCAGGCCAAUUGGUUUUUGUAUGUGUUAGCAUGGGAUAAUGAAAUAGGACUUUGGUGCUAUUUUGUUGGUUUCGAACACCGAAGUAAUGAUUAAUAGGGAUAGUCAGGGGCACUCGUAUUCCACCGAGAGAGGUGAAAUUCUCAGACCAGUGGAAGACGAACUUCUGCGAAAGCAUUUGCCAGGGAUGUUUUCACUGAUCAAGAACGAAAGUUAGGGGAUCGAAGAUGAUUAGAUACCAU
rnacentral:rRNA from 1 species